CAAUAGCGUAUAUUAAAGUUGUUGCGGUUAAAAAGCUCGUAGUUGGAUUUCUGCCGAGGACGAUCGGUCCGCCCUCUGGGUGAGUAUCUGGUUCGGCCUUGGCAUCUUCUUGGAGAACGUUACUGCACUUGAUUGUGUGGUGCGGUAUCCAGGACUUUUACUUUGAGGAAAUUAGAGUGUUUCAAGCAGGCACACGCCUUGAAUACAUUAGCAUGGAAUAAUAAGAUAGGACGUUGGUUCUAUUUUGUUGGUUUCUAGAGCUGACGUAAUGAUUAAUAGGGAUAGUUGGGGGCAUUCGUAUUUAACUGUCAGAGGUGAAAUUCUUGGAUUUGUUAAAGACGAACUACUGCGAAAGCAUUUGCCAAGGAUGUUUUCAUUGA
rnacentral:rRNA from 1 species